CGGAGUCCCGUCCUCUACGUAACCCAGAUCUGAUCCGUCCUCCAGCACAGCAUGUCCUCCACUGCACACACACACACAGCAGAGACGGUGUGUCAGGGUUAUCACUAUGCAGCAGAUAGUGAGACUGGUGACCUCGCCUUCCAGAUCACCCAGGCGUGGCUUCGCCGUCAUGUUAGAGCACAAGAGAAAUCCACACAGCACGUCCCUGAGAGAGAACAGACAGAAAGCGCCUGGCACUGAGCGUCUCUGGUCUUACACCGGCCACCAUAACAACGACCCUGUCAGAGGUGCAUUAUGGGAGGUGGAUGCUGAAAACAAUCACUAUACAAGUGCUUAAUGUGGACAUUAGAAUAGAAAACACAGGGUUCUUCUUAGUGGCUCUUCAGUUCUUCUCAGUGGCGUUUAGGUCAAGGGACUGAAGGUCUGGAAGCUCCACCACCCAGGAACGAUUCUGGGCUUGUUUGGGGAAGAGCAUCACCACAGCACUGUGGACCAUUCAUUACCGGACAUCUCGUUCCACAGCCAGGUUUUGUGCUCCUUGAACUUUGACCCAGUUUGCUGUUUGCUGACCUUUUCAAAGCUCCUCCAAUGAGACAAACUGUUUGAUACGAGGCGGUAAAAGCAUCUCAGGCUGUACGAACAAAACUUAACGUACUAAAACAGCGAGUGAGGAAUGUGAUUAGUGUAGACACUUAUGAGCAGUAAUAAUGAAGAGAAGUUUAGUGCUCCUGUCUCCUUUUACUACAUUAAACCACGUUAAACUUUAUUUUGAACC